rnacentral:rRNA from 1 species
CCUACGGGUGGCAGCAGUGAGGAAUAUUGGUCAAUGGUCGCAAGCCUGACCCAGCAACGCCGCGUGAAGGAAGAAGGCUUUCAGGUUGUAAACUUCUUUUCUCAGGGACGAAACAAGUGACGGUACCUGCGGAAUAAGCCACGGCUAACUACGGGCCAGCAGCCGCGGUAAUACGUAGGUGGCAAGCGUUAUCCGGAUUUACUGGUUGUAAAGGGCGUGUAGGCGGGACUGCAAGUCAGAUGUGAAAACCACGGGCUCAACCUGUGGCCUGCAUUUGAAACUGUAGUUCUUGAGUACUGGAGAGGCAGGCGGAAUUCCUGGUGUAGCGGUGAAAUGCGUAGAGAUUAGGAGGAACACCAGUGGCGAAGGCGGUCUGCUGGACAGAAACUGACGCUGAGGCGCGAAAGCGUGGGGAGCAAACAGGAUUAGAUACCCUAGUAGUC